rfam:Triticum aestivum genome assembly, contig: Triticum_aestivum_CS42_TGACv1_scaffold_375532_5AL
CGUGUACUCCCUCCGUUCCGAAUUACUUGUCUUAGAUUUGUCUAGAUACGGAUGUAUCUAGCACUAAAAUGAGUCUAAAUACAUUUGUAUCUAGACAAAUUUAAGACAAGUAAUUCAGAACGGAGGGAGUACGUA